GGCCCUAUAGCUAAGCGGUUAUAGCGUGGGAUUGCAGAUCCCAAGGUCCUUGGUUCGAGUCCGAGUAGAGCCU
rnacentral:tRNA from 1 species